CGGCGUGCUUAACACAUGCAAGUCGAACGGAAAGGCCCUGCUUUUGUGGGGUGCUCGAGUGGCGAACGGGUGAGUAACACGUGAGUAACCUGCCCUUGACUUUGGGAUAACUUCAGGAAACUGGGGCUAAUACCGGAUAGGAGCUCCUGCUGCAUGGUGGGGGUUGGAAAGUUUCGGCGGUUGGGGAUGGACUCGCGGCUUAUCAGCUUGUUGGUGGGGUAGUGGCUUACCAAGGCUUUGACGGGUAGCCGGCCUGAGAGGGUGACCGGCCACAUUGGGACUGAGAUACGGCCCAGACUCCUACGGGAGGCAGCAGUGGGGAAUAUUGCACAAUGGGCGGAAGCCUGAUGCAGCAACGCCGCGUGCGGGAUGACGGCCUUCGGGUUGUAAACCGCUUUCGCCUGUGACGAAGCGUGAGUGACGGUAAUGGGUAAAGAAGCACCGGCUAACUACGUGCCAGCAGCCGCGGUGAUACGUAGGGUGCGAGCGUUGUCCGGAUUUAUUGGGCGUAAAGGGCUCGUAGGUGGUUGAUCGCGUCGGAAGUGUAAUCUUGGGGCUUAACCCUGAGCGUGCUUUCGAUACGGGUUGACUUGAGGAAGGUAGGGGAGAAUGGAAUUCCUGGUGGAGCGGUGGAAUGCGCAGAUAUCAGGAGGAACACCAGUGGCGAAGGCGGUUCUCUGGGCCUUUCCUGACGCUGAGGAGCGAAAGCGUGGGGAGCGAACAGGCUUAGAUACCCUGGUAGUCCACGCUGUAAACGGUGGGUACUAGGUGUGGGGUCCAUUCCACGGGUUCCGUGCCGUAGCUAACGCUUUAAGUACCCCGCCUGGGGAGUACGGCCGCAAGGCUAAAACUCAAAGGAAUUGACGGGGCCCCGCACAAGCGGCGGAGCAUGCGGAUUAAUUCGAUGCAACGCGUAGAACCUUACCUGGGUUUGACAUGGAUCGGGAGUGCUCAGAAAUGGGUGUGCCUCUUUUGGGGUCGGUUCACAGGUGGUGCAUGCCUGUCGUCAGCUCGUGUCGUGAGAUGUUGGGUUAAGUCCCGCAACGAGCGCAACCCUUGUUCACUGUUGCCAGCACGUUAUGGUGGGGACUCAGUGGAGACCGCCGGGGUCAACUCGGAGGAAGGUGGGGAUGACGUCAAGUCCUCAUGCCCCUUAUGUCCAGGGCUUCACGCAUGCUACAAUGGCUGGUACAGAGAGUGGCGAGCCUGUGAGGGUGAGCGAAUCUCGGAAAGCCGGUCUCAGUUCGGAUUGGGGUCUGCAACUCGACCUCAUGAAGUCGGAGUCGCUAGUAAUCGCAGAUCAGCAACGCUGCGGUGAAUACGUUCCCGGGGCUUGUACACACCGCCCGUCAAGUCAUGAAAGUUGGUAACACCCGAAGCCGGUGGCCUAACCGUUGUGGGGGAGCCGUCGAAGGUGGGACUGGUGAUUAGGACUAAAU
rnacentral:rRNA from 1 species